rnacentral:rRNA from 1 species
GACGAACGCUGGCGGCGUGCCUAAUACAUGCAAGUAGAGCGCACAGUUUAUACCGUAGCUUGCUCCACCAUAGACUGUGAGUUGCGAACGGGUGAGUAACGCGUAGGUAACCUGCCUGGUAGCGGGGGAUAACUAUUGGAAACGAUGGCUAAUACCGCAUAAUAUUAAUUAUUGCAUGAUAAUUAAUUGAAAGGUGCAAUUGCACCACUACCAGAUGGACCUGCGUUGUAUUAGCUAGUAGGUGAGGUAACGGCUCACCUAGGCGACGAUACAUAGCCGACCUGAGAGGGUGAUCGGCCACACUGGGACUGAGACACGGCCCAGACUCCUACGGGAGGCAGCAGGAGGGAAUCUUCGGCAAUGGACGAAAGUCUGACCGAGCAACGCCGCGUGAGUGAAGAAGGGUGUCGGAUCGUAAAGCUCUGUUGUAAGAGAAGAACGGGUGUGAGAGUGGAAAGUUCACACUGUGACGGUAUCUUACCAGAAAGGGACGGCUAACUACGUG